rnacentral:misc_RNA from 1 species
CUUCAUCCCCCCCUGCCAUUGCAGAACCUGCACAAUAUAGCGUGCAGAGUUAUGGUGCCAAGCCCGAUGGCACAACUGACUCAACCAAGGCCUUUCUUGCUGCAUGGGACCAGGUCUGUGGGUCUACGGCACCUGCCUCUCUAUACGUGCCUUCAGGGAAGUUUUCUCUAGGCAAAGUGACCUUUCAGGGCCCCUGCAAGAACAGUGCCAUUGUAGUUACUAUCGAUGGUACCCUUGUGGCUCC